rnacentral:lncRNA from 1 species
CAUAUUGUCUCCAAAUUUUAAUUUGUUAUAAUUUUGACUCGAAUUCUUAAUUAUUUCAAUUAUGUCCUAUAAUUUAAUUAAGUUGACUAGAUAUUAAUAUAUCGCUAAUGUAGCAAUAUUGUGGCAUGUGACGUGUUUACUUUUUAUAUCAGUAAUGCGUAAUUUUUUAUCAACUAAGUUGGGUUACGAGACUGCGUUGUUAUAAUUCUAAAAUUUCGAGCCAAAAAUUAUAAUAAACUAAAGCUGGAGGACCGAAGCGUCAGGUGCCUCGUAGUUUGAGGA